UACAGAGGGUGCGAGCGUUAAUCGGAAUUACUGGGCGUAAAGGGCGCGUAGGCGGUUUCGUAAGUCCCGUGUGAAAGCCCCCGGCUCAACUGGGGAACUGCACGGGAAACUGCGAGGCUUGAGUUCGGGAGAGGGAAGCGGAAUUCCGGGUGUAGCGGUGAAAUGCGUAGAUAUCCGGAGGAACACCGGUGGCGAAGGCGGCUUCCUGGACCGACACUGACGCUGAGGCGCGAAAGCUAGGGGAGCAAACGGG
rnacentral:rRNA from 1 species